rnacentral:rRNA from 1 species
GACAGAGGAUGCAAGCGUUAUCCGGAAUGAUUGGGCGUAAAGCGUCUGUAGGUGGCUUUUAAGUCCGCCGUCAAUCCCAGGCUCAACCCUGGACAGGCGGUGGAAACUACCAAGCUGGAGUACGGUAGGGGCAGAGGGAAUUUCCGGUGGAGCGGUGAAAUGCGUAGAGAUCGGAAAGAACACCAACGGCGAAGGCACUCUGCUGGGCCGACACUGACACUGAGAGACGAAAGCUAGGGGAGCAAAUGGG